rnacentral:rRNA from 1 species
GAUGAACGCUGGCGGCGUGCCUAAUACAUGCAAGUCGAACGAGGUGCUUUUGUAGCAAUACGAGAGUAUCCCAGUGGCGAACGGGUGAGUAACGCGUUGGUGACCUACCCCAAAGUGUGGGAUAACAGUCCGAAAGGAUUGCUAAUACCGCAUGUGGUCUUCGGAUUUAGAAACUGAUGACUAAAGGAGCAAUUCGCUUUGGGAGGGACCUGCGUCCCAUCAGCUAGUUGGUGAGGUAAUGGCUCACCAAGGCUACGACGGGUAGGGGACCUGAGAGGGUGACCCCCCACAAUGGAACUGAAACACGGUCCAUACACCUACGGGUGGCAGCAGUAGGGAAUAUUGCACAAUGGGCGAAAGCCUGAUGCAGCAACGCCGCGUGUGCGAUGAAGGCCUUCGGGUCGUAAAGCACUUUUCUGGGAGAUGAGCAAGGACAGUAUCUCAGGAAUAAGUCUCGGCUAACUACGUGCCAGCCGCCGCUGUAAAAC